AUACAUAUACCAACAACAUUUUUUUCUAAAUCAAAUUUCCCCACUAUUCUCUACACUCGCUGAAAAUAUAUGGAUUAUUUUUCAAGGUUCAAGGACAAGGCAACUGUGAGUCCAGCCGUAAGAGCUUAUUAGGCUGUCGAAAGAGUGAGUCAGUAUUCCUUGGACGUACAAUAUACCUGACAGAUGCGGUGUGGGCGACCGGACGCUGUUAUUGAAGCAUGCGCACGACAACCAAGCCCAUUUGGUGGUCAGUGGUCAGUUCCGAAGAGCAUAUGUCAACUCUUAUUGCAGUCGAAGAGCCUUGACUUCAGCUUGGGAGGAUUCAUGAAAUAGAGCUGGACACGCCGGUGCUUGGAUUUUUUUCCGCAGAAGAUAAAAAAAAUACCGAUGAUUAAGGCUAAUAUAGCUUUAAAUACCGAUAUACCUUGUAGCCAUUUACAUUUCCUCACGAAAUACAAAUUUAAAUAUUUAAAGUUUUUAAAACUUAAUACGUAAAAGGCGAUAAUAAUAGAAAUUAAGUUAUUUAGGGGAGUUACAAUACUGGCUCAAACCGUCAAGACCACAUAGCAAGCGGAAGGAGGUGCUUCAGCCAAAGUACAACAAAGUUGUAUACAACCAGAAAUAUAUAUAUUCUUGACUAGGAUCACCGGCCUCGCCGAUCUUUCAAUGUUUAUAUGAGGAUCAAGACCUCGGGGCUAGAAAAGCUAGAAAGGUAAAAUGGCGCUGGCAGAUUUACACAUAGAUAUCAGUGGUAUUUAUAUGCGUUGCUUGUAGAUUAAACGCGUAUACCAGAUUCGCUAAAAAGAAUGUAAUUGGUAAAGAGAUGCGUUUCUGACCCUAUAAAGUAAUAAGGUAAUGAUCGGGAAGUGCAAUCUCGCCCUCGUACUCCCACUCCCACUAGCUGUGAUCUCGAGAAACUUGUCAAUACCGUCUUCUCUUGGUUUUUAACCCUAUUUGAAGGAGUUCAUAAAACUUGUUUUAAAUGCCUUGUGAAAUUACAAUUUUAACAAAAAGCUUAAAGGUUGAAAAUCCAUGUAAUCAAGAAAGAUUAUUAUUAAAUUUAAAACUACCAUAACUAUACCCAUUCUAUUUCCGUUCCUAAGAAAAGGCGUUUCCACACUAUGUAUAGCUUUGGUUGAGAGGAUAUUUUUCCAAACGCCAACGAAAAUUCUCGCUGGCUGUGCAAGGGGCGUGGUCUCGCAGCUUGUCGCGCACGCUAUUUAAGAAAAGAACAAGUUGGUUAGGUGGGGCGGGUUUUUGGGAUAGGGGUGAGUUUUCCUUGCAUAAGCCUAAAAUUGUAAAGUUAAAAUGGUAAUGGCGGAAAGAUUUAAAGAAUUCUGACGCAUAGACAGAGAACUCACAGCACCGCGACACAAAGUCAUCGGUGGAAAACGUUUUAGGGUCGAAGAAAGUUUUGAGCACUUAGUGUGCGCUAGCACAUGUGUUCAGAAGUAUGCACACUGUACACAUUAGUAGACUGUAUAUUAAACCCGGGCAUGUACUUGUAUGGUUCCUCAAUCUACAUUGCUGUAUACACAUAAGUUUCUACAUAAAAUUCGGAGUAUGUGCAAGAGGUUGUACAUACAAAAACACCCUCAUUAUGUUAAGCAGCGCAGCUAGAAACUUGCGGCUAUGCUUACUUUGAAGAAAAAGAAGGCGAAGAAAGAGAAAUGUCUGGAAAACGCACAGUCGAGGCUAAAAGCCAACCCCUAGUUUGGCAUUGGUUGGGGUUUCUCAAGUCACUGUUCUCGCGGAAAAAUGACAAGGCGGGCGUGAUAUAAAGUAAUCUCUGUCUCAGUCUAAGGUAUGCGAUGCGUUACAUUUGUGUGUUUGUACACACGGUAUAAGUAUUCAAUGUAUUAGGUAAAUAUAAAUAUUUUAAUCGUUGCCGAUUAGAUUAAAAGAAGAAAAAUAUCGGUAGAACAACAUCUUUAAAAAUUCCGAGCGAGCAGAUUGUGAGCUUUAAAUUGGUCAUAAGAAUAUAAUAUGUACAUAUAUAAUAACAAGAGAGAACGCUAUAGUCGAGUUCCCCGACUAUCUGAUACCCGUUACUCAGCUAGUGGAAGAAGAGAAAUUCAAAAAACUAACAAACGUGUUCAAAAAAUUCAAAACAUUCGUUAAAAGUAUGUGCGUGGCAGUUUCAAGCGAUUUGUGGGCGUUAGAGUGGGCGUGACAACAUGCGUUUUGCUCCGGCUGUUUCUCUGGAGUGUGCAUGUUGAAUAUAACAUUUCUAGUUUUUAUAGAUCUCCUGAGAUCUCGACGUUCAUUCGGACGGACAUGGCCAGAUAAACUCGGCUAUUGAUCCUGAUCAGGAAUAUAUGUACUUUAUAUGGUCGGAAACGCUUCCCAAUCUAGUAUACCCUUUUACUCUACGAGUAAUGGGUUUAAAAAUACUACAAUCAGAGAAAAAACAGAUCUCAGUGAUCUCGACUUGAGUAUUUUCGAUCUAAAGUCUAGACAAUAUCGACUCAUGCUGAGCAUGCUCAGAUUGAGAUUGAAUCAUUCUCAGAUCGCAAAUGAUAUUGAAAAAAUGUCUUCUCGCUAACGAGACAAAGCGAUCGAGAAGAAAUGAUCUCGAUCCCGAUUGCCAAUCCAAAAGAUAAAUUUUUAAUUUAAAAGUUCUAUUUAUUUAACAUACAUUUUACAUUAUUUUUAUUAUUUACAAAAUUAACAGUAUAUAACAUAUGUAUAUACAUAUUACAUAUGUAAAUAAUCUUCUUAAAAAUAAUUAACUAAAAAUUUAACUAAUACCAAAUAAUUUGCAAAGCAAAAAACGCAUUACUGUAAAAAUUAAAUGAAUUUUAAUAAAUUAAAAACAAACCUAGUUUGGGACAAACCCGUGUGACAUUCAGUUUGUUAAGUCUUACCUUUCUUUAUAUAUGUAUAUUUAUGUAGGGAUAUGUCGUAUAUUAAAUUAAAAUAACAUAAAAUGCAAACACAAGUUUUAUUAGUUGAAUAUUCUUCACAGCAAUUAAUGUUAAUAAAAUUAUGUACAUUUUUAUAUAUUUGUAUAUACAUAUGUACAUAGAUAAACGCAUUUAUAUAUACAUAUAUGUAUUUACCAAUAUAUGAACACAUUCCCGCAACCGAUACCACAAAUAUAUUAAUACUUACUUUUAGGUGGGGAAGAGCUUUUAAAAGCCCAAAUCGAAGGUUCUAGUCGUUGCACAUAAUUAUUACUCACAAACAAAGUAAUGGUUUAAUCGACAAGAAGAAGAAUCGUAUAAUUUGUAUUCAGAAAGUUUUAAAAUACAGACGAACCAACUGACAUGGCUAUGUCGUCUCGACUGAUGUUGUUGCUACUAACCAAGAAUAUAUGUAUAAGCAUAUAACAUAUACAUACAUAUGUACAUAUAUACGAAAUAUUUCCAAAGCGUAACAAACUUCUGACACAAAUCAAUGCCUUUUCACAGGGUAUAACAACAAAAAAUAUUCCAAAGGUGUGCGUAAACAUUUUUAGCAUUUCUAUAGAAAUUGAUAACGCAAAUUGUCGCAUUAAACAAAAUUAAAACAUUUGUAAAAAAUGUGGGCGUGACAACACUUUGUAACUGCACAGCCUAGGUAUCAAUCAAAUUUUUUUUAAAUCAUCUUUCUAGUUUGUAUUGUUCCCGAGAUCAUAGCGCUCAUACGGACAGGCACAUGGACUGUUCAUAUGUACGUCGCCAGAUCGACGAUCAAUAAGAUAUAUACUGAUCAAGAAUAUAUAUACUUUAUAGGGUCGAAACUUGUCCUUCAACCUGUUACACACUUUAAAAGAAUCUAGUGCACCCUAUUACUCAACGAAUAACGGGUACACCAACUAUUUAAUAGAGUAACAAAUCAUUUAGGGAUUAAUUUGAAUAUUUUGAGAGUUCUUGUAAUAUGAAAGUCUUGUCCUCAAUAGACCAUAUGGCUAACAACUAAUAACUAAAGAUUUAUUUACUUAUUUGUAAUAUUUCUAGAACUUUGUGCACUUUUUAAGGCGUGCCUAUGUUAGGUCAUCUUCAACUAUUAAAAAUAAUGUUGCCUUUUCAUAGAAAUUACAUCCACACAAAACGCUAUGUUAAAUUAGAAGGAAGUGUAUACUUCUUUUUGUAUAUAUAUACUAUAAUAUAAUCUGCAAUACAAUAUAAUAUAAUCUGCAAUGUAAUAUAUACAUAUAUAUUUUGAAAUGGUAUAUCAGCUAACAAUAAAAGUCUGUAUUGCUUAGUGACGUCAUUGUCAGUAUAUAAAAAUAUUCGUAGAUUGCGUAUGUCAAAUAAUUCGGGGCGACAUCUAUAUCUGAAGCCACCUUUAUUUUUCAAUUGAUUGUCUAAGCAACGGGUAUUGUUUAGUCAAGGAACUUGUCUAUUGCCUUAUUAUUAUUUUUAAUUUAUGAGUUUUUUAAUUUGUAAUUUUAUUUUAAGCUAAAACCUUAAAAAAAAGCGUAUGUAAAAAAUAGUGGGGUGGUUCGGCCUCACCGCUAUUUCUUUUAAAGAAAUACAAAAAGGGGCUGUGCAAAACAUAUAUUAUAUUAGAGCUGAAAAAGCUUAACGUGUUGAGCUUUUCCCAAAGCUUUGCCUAAGCGAAUUCAAGUGAGCCUAGGCGAAUUGUAAACAUUAAAGCUGAGUGAGCUUAAACUAAUUUUUGAGAAAUAUGUCAUACUAGUGAUUUCAAACAAAGUAAAACUAUAUUUAAUUUGCUUUAAGCAUUGCCAAAUUUUCACAAACAUUCGAGCCACGGAUAUAUAAUUUUCAUAAAAUGUUGCCAUCCCAAGCACACGGCUUCACAACACCAACGAUUAGAAUGCUAAUUUCUGAACUUCGUGUUCUAUUAAUGCCUUGUCAUACUUCGAAUGCCGGUCAUAAGCAGACAGACAGACAAUGGAUCAAUUGAUUUGGAUGGAUAUUUUGUCAGCUUGAUCAGUGAAUGGAGAUUUCGUUUAAUCGAUUGCAAAAGAUUUAAGGGGACUAGUGCACAUUUUCAUAACCUAUAAUAUUUAUACUCAAAUUAGUUUUUAAGUUAGUUUGUUAAGAAAAUUCAAAUCAAGGUUUUUCUUCCCACUUUUGAUUGAAAAUUUAAAAUGUAAGAAAUUCCAGGACAAUAAAUUGUUAAAAAAAAAAAUUCAGUUGAAAAGCGCAUAAAUGCUAGACACUGAAAAAUUAUAAUAUUAUAUCAUAAGCUUUUGUGACUAAAAUAAAUUUUAAGGGAAUAUAAAGCACAAUAAAUAAAUAAAUAACCUAUAAUGUGUGUGCCUUCUCUUGUCGUGUUCAAAUAACUGAAUUUAAUAACAUACGCAUCUAUAUUUGUAACUUAUACACAUGUAAGCCCAUAUAGGCACCGGUACAUAGACAAAAAGAGAAAUGGGAAGGAUGCGCGCAAUAUGAAUAUGCUUAUUAAUUUAUAAGUAUUAAUUCGUGCAGGCUCGCCACAUAGUUGAACUGCAACAUUAUGACCGUUAGCACACAAAUACCGAACCCGCACCAAUUCUGAGUUUACCAUACAUGUGCAAUCAAACACACACUCAAACUACACACACAUCCAUAUGCAUAAGUGCUUUUGGUACACUUCGUAUACAGUUUCUAAAGUAAAGCGCUGGGCUUUUUUAUGUACAUAAUUAGAGGUUGGAAUCUAAAUCUGAAUGGCUAUGUAUUGUUUUACAUAGGCAUGCAUUGUGUUAUCCCCCUACGAAGAGUGUGCGGAAAAUCAGAAAUUGUGUUCAUAACCCUCAGUUUGAGACCGCUUCUUUUAUUAAGGGCGACUGUACUUAGUUAGACUAUGACGAUUUGAGGCAAAGGAAGAAAAGUAGUGGUAGUGGUGGUCGGAUCGUCCCUUUAUCUCUUUUGCAUUGCACUUCUAGACGAACUAGCCCUGAUUAUUAUAGUUGCUUGACAGUAAGGAAGAGGAAGCUAAAACUUCUUUCCAGUUAAAGACAAUACACAAUAGUACCAUUUGGACAGUUUGAGGCUUGAGACCAGGUUUGAGGUGCGUGAUUGAGCCAACCUAGCAAUACGUUUUCUGAGCACAAGUCGUCUCCUUUAAGAAUUGAGUCAUGUGAGUUUGGACAUUUAGUAUGCUUGGCUUGUCCUUGUAUUUAGCUGUGAGCCAACUGAGUAUUUCGUAAAUUUUUGUUGUAUCCUGAGACUUAUGUACAUAUGUAGAUAUAUGUGUAGCUGUCGACUGAUAUAAACCUCAGAUUAUUUACAUAUGCACAUUGACUACGUGUAGUGAAUCUGGACCGAUAUAAUUUCGAUAUCAGAACCAAAAAUAAGCAAAAGCAAAGCAGCUUAUUUUUGAUAUGAUCUCGCUUAACUAUUUUUGUAACUUAACUAAUCUUUUUUUAACUUUAACUUUCCUAUAAAGCACGCGUUCAUUCUAGAAAAAU